ACAACACAUCCUUACCACAAUGAAGCACUUUGCCCAGCUCGUAGUUGCAUUCAUUGCAGUUACAACUGCACAACCAACGUCUUACAGGCAGGAUGGUUCCUACAGGAGCGUAGCACUGAAUUUUGGUCACGAUUUCGCCCUACCAAGGAUUCCAGGCGUUCAGCUCCAAGUGUCUUCCGUUCCUCUGCCCAUCCCUACGCUGCGCCAGGAGUUCUUCAGGGUUCCACUUCCAGCGCUUACAUAUCCGAAUAAUAUUGUACAUGGAUAUUAGGGAACAGUGCAUCGCGUACAUAGAAAACUCAUUGCCACCAUUUGGAAGAAAUAAAACUUGAGUUGAGAUAUAGAA